CACGUAUUUAGCCGGAGCUUCUUUUUCAGGUACCGUCACUUUCUUCCCUGCUGAUAGAGCUUUACAUAACGAAUUACUUCUUCACUCACGCGGCGUCGCUGCAUCAGAGUUCCCUCCAUUGUGCAAUAUUCCCCACUGCUGCCUCCCGUAGGAGUCUGGGCCGUGUCUCAGUCCCAAUGUGGCCGUCCACCCUCUCAGGCCGGCUACUGAUCGUUGCCUUGGUGUGCUUUUACCACUCCAACUAGCUAAUCAGACGCGGGUCCAUCUCAUACCAGAUUUCUCCUUUUCACACAAAAACAUGCGUCCUCGUGCGCUUAUGCGGUUUUACCACCAGUUUCCCGAUGCUAUCCCCCUGUAUGAGGCAGGUUGCCCACGCGUUACUCACCCGUCCGCCACUAAGAUACUUCUCUUUCACCUCGAAAAGCUUCCAAGCAAUAUCUCCGUUCGACUUGCAUGUGUUAGGCACGCCGCCAGCGUUCAUCCUGAGCCAGGA
rnacentral:rRNA from 1 species